AGAACGACUCUCGGCAACGGAUAUCUCGGCUCUCGCAUCGAUGAAGAACGUAGCAAACUGCGAUACUUGGUGUGAAUUGCAGAAUCCCGUGAACCAUCGAGUCUUUGAACGCAAGUUGCGCCCGAAGCCAUUAGGCCGAGGGCACGUCUGCCUGGGCGUCACGC
rnacentral:rRNA from 1 species